AACGAACGCUGGCGGCAUGCCUAACACAUGCAAGUCGAACGAUCCCUUCGGGGGUAGUGGCGCACGGGUGCGUAACGCGUGGGAACCUGCCCUUAGGUUCGGAAUAACUCAGAGAAAUUUGAGCUAAUACCGGAUAAUGUCUUCGGACCAAAGAUUUAUCGCCUUUGGAUGGGCCCGCGUUGGAUUAGCUAGUUGGUGGGGUAAAGGCCUACCAAGGCGACGAUCCAUAGCUGGUCUGAGAGGAUGAUCAGCCACACUGGGACUGAGACACGGCCCAGACUCCUACGGGAGGCAGCAGUGGGGAAUAUUGGACAAUGGGCGAAAGCCUGAUCCAGCAAUGCCGCGUGAGUGAUGAAGGCCUUAGGGUUGUAAAGCUCUUUUACCCGGGAUGAUAAUGACAGUACCGGGAGAAUAAGCCCCGGCUAACUCCGUG
rnacentral:rRNA from 1 species